CCCUUAGAUGUUCUGGGCCGCACGCGCGCUACACUGAUUCAUUCAACGAGUUACCUUGGCCGAGAGGCCUGGGCAAUCUUUUGAACGUGCAUCGUGAUAGGGAUAGAUUAUUGCAAUUAUUAAUCUUGAACGAGGAAUUCCUAGUAAACGCAGUUCAUCAAACUGCAUUGAUUACGUCCCUGCCCUUUGUACACACCGCCCGUCGCACCUACCGAUUGGAUGGUCCGGUGAAGCCUCGGGAUUGUGGCCAGUGCCUUUUUGGUUUUGGUUGCGAGAACUUGUCUAAACCUUAUCAUCUAGAGGAAGGUGAAGUCGUAACA
rnacentral:rRNA from 1 species